rnacentral:pre_miRNA from 1 species
AAAGAGUACAGUUUAGCACUAUUUAUAUCCAACGUUUAACAGUCCAUCUUAUUUAGAAAUUUUUAUGAUUAGUAUUUUUAUUGUUAUUAGAUGAUAAAACAUAAUUAUGUGUGACUAUUUUUUUUAACUUUUUUCAUAAGUUUUUCAAAUAAAUCAACGGUCAAACGUUGGACACGGAAAUUUAUGGCU